rfam:Aedes aegypti strain Liverpool supercont1.1240 genomic scaffold, whole genome shotgun sequence.
GGCUUGGUAGCUUAGCUGGUAAAGCGCUCGUCUAGCAUACAAGAGUCCGGGGUUCGAUUCCCAGCCGAGCAC